rnacentral:rRNA from 1 species
UUUAGAAAUCAUAAAAAGUACCGUCUUGCCCAGUGACUGAAAAGUUCAACGGCCGCGUCAUAGUGCUAAGGUGGCAUAAUAACUUGCCUUUUCAUCGAAGGCUAGAAUGAAUGGCAUAACGAAGCUUUACUGUCUCUACUUAUUAAAAUAAAAUUGAUCAAAAAGUGAAAAAGCUUUUAUGCUAAUGAAGGACGAAAAGACCCUAUAGAGCUUUAAUAGAGUAAAUUAAAGAUUUAUAUAACAAAAAUCUUUAAUUUUGCUAUUUUUAUUGGGGCAAUACUUAAAAAUUAAAACACAAACAUUUGUCAUAACAGAACAUAUAAUCCUCAAAGAGAAUAAAUAUAAGUUACCUUAGGGAUAACAGCGUAAUCUUACCAGAGAGACCUAAUCGAAGGAAAGGUUUGCGACCUCGAUGUUGGACUAAGAAAACUUGAAGAUGCAGAAGUCUUUAAAAGCUGGCCUGUUCGGCCAUUAA